AAUAUUGGACAAUGGGCGCAAGCCUGAUCCAGCCAUGCCGCGUGAGUGAUGAAGGCCCNAGGGUUNUNAAGCUCUUUCAACGGUGNAGAUAAUGACGGUAACCGUAGAAGAAGCCCCGGCUAACUUCGUGCCAGCAGCCGCGGUAAUACGAAGGGGGCUAGCGUUGUUCGGAAUUACUGGGAGUAAAGCGCACGUAGGCGGAUUGGUCAGUUAAGGGUGAAGUCCCAGGGCUCAACCCUGGAACUGCCUUUAAUACUGCCGGUCUAGAGUUCGAGAGAGGUGAGUGGAAUUCCGAGUGUAGAGGUGAAAUUCGUAGAUAUUCGGAGGAACACCAGUGGCGAAGGCGGCUCACUGGCUCGAUACUGACGCUGAGGUGCGAAAGCGUGGGGAGCAAACAG
rnacentral:rRNA from 1 species